rnacentral:lncRNA from 1 species
AGAGGUUAUGGAUGGCCCACCCCAGAGGUCCUAAAGGCUAGGUUAGAUGGAGCCCUGUGCAGCCUGAUCUGGUGGGUGGCCCCCAGCAGGGGGUUGGAACUGGAGGGGACUGAAGUUCUUUCCAACCUAAGCUAUGAUUCUGUGAAUCCAGUGUCGUGUUUCUAAUAGUUGCUGGCAGGGGAUAUCAAUGGAGGGGACUCCCUGAGCCAGGUGUGCAUUCUUCAUGUUAAAGAACCUUCUAUGCAUUUUCUUCCAUUAUCUUAUUCAGUUGUUCUUUGAAUCCAUGCAUGCUUUACAGCGUGCACAGCAUCCUGCUUGAGGAAUUUCAUAGUGAACUGUAGAGCCAUCUACUUUUUGCUCAACAUGUUACUUGCCAUCUUCAUUGGAAGAAACAUCAAACGUUCUGUUCCCUAUUCACUUUCUCACUGUCACUUAUGGAUCUGCUCUAUCAGAUUCCACUCUUUUAAUAUAUUGACUCCUCCCUUAAAACUUGUUUUAUAACUUCAGCAGCUGCUGUCACUUCCUAUCAUUAAUUGGGGAGUGCAUCACUGGCUGUUUAACAGCAUGUUUUCCUUGCUGCUUUCAUUACCUAUUUUCCAUCCUGCAGCCAUGUGCCACCCAUUUUCCAUGGAAAACUUUCUUGGGCUGCCCAGCUGUGCUGAAGCAGCUGUGUUGCUGUUGGCCUGGUAAAGCUCCAGUAAGUUGCAGAGCAUAUAUGAAUAUCUAUGUGUUUGUAUAUGUUAUAUAUCACACUAGCAGAAAUGUGUAGAGAAUCUCAAUUAUGGCUGUGCAGCAUCCGUCUUGUCUUUGUUCUGCAUUCAAGCUAAUGAGAUUUGGCUUUCAGCAUCACUGCAAUUUGUGUAAUAAUUUAAUCAUGAAAUAUCUUUGCAUAUAAUAACCAUCAUGAGUUCAAGGCAUUCUCAGAGUGAUGCUGGUAAGCCUGUGGCUAUGUGGAAUUGUUGCUUUGAAAGCUAAAUGAGAUAUAACUUGCUGUAUCAAAGACAGUGGAUAUUUGAUCAGUAUCGGAUGUAACAAGAAGAAACUGCUUUAGGACUGCUGAAGUUUGACUCCUCCUGCAUUGCUGCUCAGUGGAAGGCUACUAAAGCCUUUGCUUCCUCAUUGCAGAGAGAACCCCGGGUCUAUGAGAGGAAUUCUGAAGUUCAGACUUACGUUACCAACCAAAAUCUCAUGCUAAUAAGCAGUCAUCUCUUGAUGACGUUUUUAAAAGCAGUCAGCUUGUCCAGACCCUGUGCAGAAGGCUAAAAAGUCAGCCUCCAAAAUGUCAGCAUUUUGCACCACUUCCCCCAUUACUGGAAGGUGAAAUGGGAUGCGACAGUCCUGAUGAUUUUCUUUGCACCAAAUCCUCAGUGCCAUUCUGGAAGAACACAGAAAAAAUGUAUACAAGGCAAAAAGGAGUUUACUUUCCUUGUAUGCCUUUUUAUUUUCCUAACGUUUCUUCACUAAUGUUAUUCAGGGGAGUUGGAGUAGAUGAUCUUUAAAGAUUCCUUCCAACCUAAACCAUUCUGUGAAUCUAAGAAAUCAUAAUGCAUUUUACUGUUGCUGUGUAUAUAAACUGUAUUUCUUAAAUAUAUCCACGUUUCAUUCUUUUAUAUUAGUUAUAUUGGAAAAAAAAAAAAUCUCUUUCUGUUGAACCACUCCAGCUAACAGAAAUGCAUCUGUGGCAAAUAAGGCAAUAUGGCUCAUAUUUCAUUUUCCUCUCUUCCAGAAAAAAGAUGUAUGUAGUCAGGUUCUUCCUCUAAGGCAUUAUGUGAUAUUCCAGUGUGACAGACUUAGAAUUAUGUAUGGUUUCAUGUAAAGGGGAAAGGCAUGAGCAUUUAAAUGUAAGAUAAACCAGAGCAAUCAAUAAAGCAUACAUUCAUGAAUAGACACAAGCAUUACACUUGACAGUGUGCAUGUUCUUGCUCUCACGUAUACUUCUGGAUGUUAAGCAGUCCUGCAGAUUGAAGGACUGACAAAAUACAUAUUCUUGCUGAAGCAGCUUGCACUUCUGCAAGAAGCCCAGACAUUUAUUUUUUUCCCCAAGUGGAGUUAACCACAUUGUUAAUGUGUUUCCCUUUCUUCAUUUUCUCAUUCUUAUUGCUCUUAAAAAUCACAAGAGUUCAAUGGUUGUAAUAUUCAGUUACUAACAAUGAUAUUUUAAAAUACAGUUUUGCAGCAAGAUUGUUAUACAAUAUAAUUAUUCAGUGUUUUUCUUGAGAAGCAAGCAAAAAGGUUGUUUUUUGAUUAUUUUUUUUUCUGGUAUUCCUCGUAUUUGGAACAAUGUGGAAGACAUAGGCUUC